rnacentral:rRNA from 1 species
AUGGAUACUAGUGUACUAGCGCCAACACCUUCUCCCUGGUUCAGUAUUCAAAGUCUUGGAGGAAACUCGCUCUUCCUUGGACAAAACUAUCCAAUGAUGGUGGAAGGCGAUCCAGCUGCUGUUGACACAAUGUUAAUACCAUUUAUGAGAAGCAACUGUAUCUAUACCUCAGACAUUGCUAUGCUUCCCUACCAUCCCAAUAUGGGUCCUGACAUAGGUCGCUUCAACCUGGAUGAUCAGUCCUGCGUUGGUCUCGAGAUUGACAGUAGCUGGCCCUUCCCAGAGAAUCACUUCUGGUUCAAAGCAAGCGUUUCCAACGCCGACGAGUGGUUGAGCUGA